rnacentral:rRNA from 1 species
UACGGAGGGAGCUAGCGUUGUUCGGAAUUACUGGGCGUAAAGCGCGCGUAGGCGGCUUUGUAAGUUAGAGGUGAAAGCCCGGGGCUCAACCCCGGAAUUGCCUUUAAGACUGCAUCGCUUGAAUCCGGGAGAGGUGAGUGGAAUUCCGAGUGUAGAGGUGAAAUUCGUAGAUAUUCGGAAGAACACCAGUGGCGAAGGCGGCUCACUGGACCGGCAUUGACGCUGAGGUGCGAAAGCCAGGGGAGCAAACGGG